rnacentral:rRNA from 1 species
AUUGAACGCUGGCGGCAUGCCUUACACAUGCAAAUCGAACGGUAACGGGCCUUCGGGUGCCGACGAGUGGCGAACGGGUGAGUAAUACAUCGGAACGUGCCCGAUCGUGGGGGAUAACGAGGCGAAAGCUUUGCUAAUACCGCAUACGAUCUACGGAUGAAAGCAGGGGACCGCAAGGCCUUGCGCGGACGGAGCGGCCGAUGGCAGAUUAGGUAGUUGGUGGGAUAAAAGCUUACCAAGCCGACGAUCUGUAGCUGGUCUGAGAGGAUGAUCAGCCACACUGGGACUGAGACACGGCCCAGACUCCUACGGGAGGCAGCAGUGGGGAAUUUUGGACAACGGGCGCAAGCCUGAUCCAGCAAUGCCGCGUGCAGGAUGAAGGCCUUCGGGUUGUAAACUGAUUUUGUACGGAACGAAAAGCCUUCUUUUAAUACAGGAGGGUCAUGACGGUACCGUAAGAAUAAGCACCGGCUAACUACGUG